UCCGUAGGUGGAUAAUUUAGUCAGAGGUGAAAUCCUGCAGCUCAACUGUAGAAUUGCCUUUGAUACUGGUUAUCUUGAGUUAUUAUGAAGUAGUUAGAAUAUGUAGUGUAGCGGUGAAAUGCAUAGAUAUUACAUAGAAUACCAAUUGCGAAGGCAGAUUACUAAUAAUCAACUGACACUGAUGAACGAAAGCGUGGGGAGCGAACAGGAUUAGAUACCCUGGUAGUCC
rnacentral:rRNA from 1 species